rnacentral:rRNA from 1 species
GACGAACGCUGGCGGCGUGCCUAACACAUGCAAGUCGAGCGAAUGAAGUUCCUUCGGGAACGGAUUUAGCGGCGGACGGGUGAGUAACACGUGGGCAACCUGCCUCAUAGAGGGGAAUAGCCUUCCGAAAGGGAGAUUAAUACCGCAUAAGAUUGUAGUACCGCAUGGUACAGCAAUUAAAGGAGCAAUCCGCUAUGAGAUGGGCCCGCGGCGCAUUAGCUAGUUGGUGGGGUAACGGCCUACCAAGGCGACGAUGCGUAGCCGACCUGAGAGGGUGAUCGGCCACAUUGGGACUGAGACACGGCCCAGACUCCUACGGGAGGCAGCAGUGGGGAAUAUUGCACAAUGGGGGAAACCCUGAUGCAGCAACGCCGCGUGAGUGAUGACGG